rnacentral:sRNA from 2 species
UGCCGCGUCAUCAGGGAGUAGCUUCACCCCGCAGUGGGUGGCUUGCAUCAACAGACUUGGCGCCCCGAGUUUUCAGGCGCUAUGGUGCAAGCGGCAUAUGCUUAGCGAGACUUUUGGCUGCGUGAAUCCAUCAUGCUGGUGGGGUUCAUGUGGUCAUCUGUCAUCCACCGGCUAGG